AAUGAUUGACACAUGUCAUAAUUUUUUAAAAUAAAAAAAGAAACAAAAACUGAGAGCUUGAAGACACUAUAAAGAGAAGAAAAGAACAUUGACAUUAUCUCUCUCGUUAUGUUCUUCUUUCAUGAGCAGGGGGCAACCGACUAGCAACAACGGAGGUGGCACCCCUUUCAUACUCUCUCACUCCUCUACCUUAUGACUCAUUCACUCUCUCGUCUAAACUCUCUCUCUUUCUCACUCAAUCUCGUCUCAUUCUCUCUGAAACAUUUCUACAACACAAAUAAUUCCACUUUCUCUCAAAAAAAUUAACACAAAGCAUGAAAAUGAGAACAAUAUAUGAAGAGUAAAAAGGAGUUACCAAACGGUGGUUGGACAGGAAAAGGGUGUUGCUCGUGGAGGAUCUCUAGAGCGCUCACGUUUCUUCUUCUCUUUUUUUUCGGUGACGGUAGUGGCUAACGUGUAGUAGUUGUCGGUGUUUUUGUGGUUGUCUAAGGUGAGUGUUGUAUGUGAUGAACGAUGGUUGUUUGCAGGGUGGCGAGAAGAGGUUUAACUUUAUUGCAACGAUGAUAUGAGUUUAGGUGGGUUUUGAUGAAAAUAAAUGUGGAUGUUCACUGUGUUUUUGCAAGUUGUAGCAUGGAAGGUGAAUAUUGAGCUUUUGUUAUGGUGAUUAGAAAUGUGGUAUUGCAAGUUGUGAGAUAGGGUGAAAGGUUUUAAAUAGCUUUGGUUUUUUAAGGUUGGAUGUUUGAAGGAAGAAAGAGAGUUUAUGUGUUAUGUAUGAAGGUAUUAUGGUAGAUAGCUUGUGUUGAAGAAGGUUUGUUGAGUGGAAAGAGAUGAGCAAGGUUGUGUUGAACAAGGUGCAUGUUGUAGGUUGUUAUUAGUAGUAUGAAGCUUGUGUUACAUGAAGGUUGGAAAAUAUGAUUUUAGUGAAGGGGGAUUUUGUCUCAUGUAUGAAGGUAGGUGGAUUGGUGAGUGUGUUAAGAAACUGAAAAAAUGAAAGGUGAGAAAAAUGAAGUCCUGUGCGUUUGAGAUAUCAGUUUUUACAUUGAAGGAAAAGCUAUCAUUUUUUAUGAAGAGGGAUGUCAAUGUUCCUUUACCGAAUGAAAUAAAAACCUUCCUUUUCACUCUUUUUGUUUUCAAAUUGGAGAGAGGGCUUCAAGACAAGUGUCGUCAUUGGGUGAUUUUUUUGGUCUAGGUUAUUGGUUUCUCUCAAUUAUUGGCCACAUGAGCAAUAAAUUCACAACAUUAGGGCUACA
rnacentral:lncRNA from 1 species